rnacentral:rRNA from 1 species
GACGAACGCUGGCGGCGUGCUUAACACAUGCAAGUCGAACGGAAAGGCCCAGCUUGCUGGGUGCUCGAGUGGCGAACGGGUGAGUAACACGUGGGUGAUCUGCCCCUAACUUCGGGAUAAGCUUGGGAAACUGGGUCUAAUACCGGAUAGGACAAUCGUUUAGUGUCGGUUGAGGAAAGUUUUUUCGGUUAGGGAUGAGCCCGCGGCCUAUCAGCUUGUUGGUGGGGUAAUGGCCUACCAAGGCGUCGACGGGUAGCCGGCCUGAGAGGGUGGACGGCCACAUUGGGACUGAGGUACGGCCCAGACUGCUACGGGGGGCAGCAGUGGGGAAUAUUGCACAAUGGGCGCAAGCCUGAUGCAGCGACGCCGCGUGGGGGAUGACGGCCUUCGGGUUGUAAACCUCUUUCGACAGGGACGAAGCUUUGGUGACGGUACCUGUAUAAGAAGCACCGGCUAACUACGUG